GCCUGGCUGGCUCAGUCAGUAGAGCAUGUGACUCUUGAUCUCAGGGUUGUAAGUGCAAGCCCCACAUUAGGCA
rnacentral:tRNA from 1 species